UACGGAGGAUCCGAGCGUUAUCCGGAUUUAUUGGGUUUAAAGGGUGCGCAGGCGGGAGAUUAAGUCGGCGGUGAAAUUUUGCAGCUCAACUGUAAAAGUGCCUUCGAAACUGGUUUCCUUGAGUGUAGAUGAAGUAGGCGGAAUUUGUGGUGUAGCGGUGAAAUGCAUAGAUAUUACACAGAACACCGAUUGCGAAGGCAGCUUACUAAUCCAUCAUUGACGCUGAGGCACGAAAGCGUGGGGAUCAAACAGGAUUAGAUACCCGCGUA
rnacentral:rRNA from 1 species